ACGUCGGUAGUGCAACGGUUGAGCACGCGCACCCGGAUAAGGUAUCAUGUGGGUUCGAAUCCCAACUGACGGA